rnacentral:rRNA from 1 species
AUGACCUCCCUGGUGUGCAGGAAUCCCCGAUGCUUGUCUUCGUCGACGGCAGCCACCAUGGUGGUGGUCAAGCCGAUGAAAAAAGGCAUCAAGUUGGUUCUUGCGACCGGUUCCAGAGCGCAUCAUCGACGGUAUUUGUGUUUCGGCGCUCCCGGCAAUCAGCCGGUUUGCAGCGCCGCCGCAUCUUCGAGUUCUGUGGCCAGAGUGAGGGCGGCCAACCUUCUUCCUCCCAGCCUUGAUGCUAUAUGGGAGGCAGUAUUGCUCCAGUUCGGUGUCCACAGCAUGCUGCGGUGGAGAGCUCGGCGGGCCAAGUGGUGCCGUCCCCGGCGCCGGCGAGUUUGCAGCCGCUCGGGAGCAAUUUGGACCUGA